UUAGCCUGGUUGGCCACGUGUCUCACAUGCACUGAGAUGAUGGAAGAUGAGACUCACUUUGACUCGCCUAACCUUUUCAAUCUUCAUUUCAGAAUUCAAAAGACACGCACAUUGUUGGUCAAGCUUGAGCUUUCUGAAGCAGAACCCAGCAAGGUGCAGAAGAAGAGAAAGGAGAAUGGAAAAGGAGCAACAACAAGUAAAGGUUUUAACUUUAACAACUGCCAACUUCACUUGGACCAUUAACAACUUCUCUAGUCAGGUUACCUUCAAAUUCAUCUACUCCGACACCUUCUUCGUUGGCCCCUAUUCCUGAUAGCUAUACAACGAAGUAUCCCCUACAUUUAUUUACGAGGCUUAUUGGUAGAUCGAUUGUAUGCUGCCGACAUUGAUAAUAAUGUUCCUGUUGGACGGAGAUCUCUUAACUUCAAGCUCUCUUUAGUUGAUCAGCUUCAAGCCAAAUCCAUGAUAAUAAAUGAGAGUGAGAAUAUCAAUAUUCAUCAGCUCAAAACAGGAGUUGCUGUUGUUUCCUUGAGAGUACUUUCAGGCAUGGUUUCUGAUCCCAAAAACGGGUUUCUUGUAAACGACACGUGCAUUGUUGUUGCUGAGGUUUCUGUCAAUGAUUUAGGACUUGAUCAUGUGAAGUCCACAGAUUUAUUU